UACAGAGGUCUCAAGCGUUGUUCGGAUUCAUUGGGCGUAGAGGGUGCGUAGGCGGCGCGGUAAGUCGGGUGUGAAAUCUCGGAGCUUAACUCCGAAACUGCAUUCGAUACUGCCGUGCUUGAGGACUUGAGAGGAGACUGGAAUUUACGGUGUAGCGGUGAAAUGCGUAGAUAUCGUAAGGAAGACCAGUGGCGAAGGCGGGUCUCUGGACAGUUCCCGACACUGAGGCACGAAGGCCAGGGGAGCAAACGGG
rnacentral:rRNA from 1 species